GAAAACAGAGACCAGGAGGAACCACAGCUCACACUGAAGGACUUUACCAUGCCAGUCCCAUUAAUUAAUAAAGCCCGUUUGUUUGGUUGCUUUUUGAGGAACUGAAGUUAGAAAUUCAGCAUCUUACAUGUGCUGCUCAGGUGUUCUGAGCGGCCACCCCAUCCGAAUCUCGAUUAUGUUUGGUUUUCCUGCAGAAUCUAGGAGGAAUUGCCGGGAUGCUACCUCGGCUUUUAAUAGCUGUUAUAAUAACUGACCACUGACUUGUCCAUUUAAUGAUAGUCAUCUGCCGUCUCACAGGUCUGUAAACCAGAGGCAGUAUUUCUUCUAACGAAGCCAACAUCAAGGCAUUUGUAUGGCUCUGUGUGGGUCAGAAGUCUCAAUGAGAAUCCUGCCUGAUGCAUGUCCUCUCCCUCCAAGGAAGCUCUAAUGGUGUCUCCUAGGAGCCUCCUCCUGGUUGCCUGUCCACAGCACUUCACUUGAGGGCAUGUCUCUGGAAAGAUUUGAUGAGCCCACUCAUCCGGAGGCAAAAAUGAAGAAUGGCCCUGAGGCUCUCCCAAAGCUUGUUAGGUCAUUUCAGUGAGCCUGUUUAACUGCUGUGACAAAUCCAGGAGAAACUUAAGAUGCAAGUCGCACCUGUGAAGACUUUGUAACUGAGUUGGAAAUCAAGGAUCAACAGAUGUAACAAAGGACCUGAUGUUGUCCUUUACAGGACACAUGAAAUGUGACAUCUCAGACAUUCUUCUAAAUAGACCUUCUCACCCUAGAUCCUCCGCCUCAUUCUUCCACACCCAUUUUUUUCAAUAUAUCACUAUAUAACAGCAACUAUAUCUCAGGAAAAAUCACCCAAAACUUGGAAAUACAGAUGAAAGUGUUGCAGAUCCUUCAGACAUUAUCCUAGAGCACUGUUACAACGAUGCUCCCAGAGAAUAGUUAAUUCCCUAAGACAAUGUCUCUGCUUUGGAAUAGGACUUACUAUUGAUAUUCCAGAUGUUGUUGUUUUGCAUACUAACUUAUAGAUUACCAUCCAGUAGAGGUGCAAGUAAUCUGUCUGGUAUAGAAGGGAAACACACACACACACACACACACACACACACACA